rnacentral:rRNA from 1 species
GCUAGGACGAACGCUGGCGGCGUGCUUAACACAUGCAAGUCGAGCGAUGAAGCUCUUCGGGAGUGGAUUAGCGGCGGACGGGUGAGUAACACGUGGGUAACCUGCCUCAUAGAGGGGAAUAGCCUUCCGAAAGGAAGAUUAAUACCGCAUAAGAUUGUAAUAUCGCAUGAUAUAGCAAUUAAAGGAGCAAUCCGCUAUGAGAUGGACCCGCGUCGCAUUAGCUAGUUGGUGAGGUAACGGCUCACCAAGGCGACGAUGCGUAGCCGACCUGAGAGGGUGAUCGGCCACAUUGGGACUGAGACACGGCCCAGACUCCUACGGGAGGCAGCAGUGGGGAAUAUUGCACAAUGGGGGAAACCCUGAUGCAGCCAACGCCGCGUGAGUGAUGACGGUCUUCGGAUUGUAAAGCUCUGUCUUCAGGGACGAUAAUGACGGUACCUGAGGAGGAAGCCACGGCUAACUACGUGCCAGCCGCAGC